GCUACGCACAGGCCGGGUAGCGCAGGUCAACCCGCAGGUCUCUCAGCGCCACCCGAUCGGCGCAGCCCGGGGCGCCUACAGCCGCGCGCCACUCGGGCUGCCCUUCGUUCACCCCGUAUGAGCCACAGGCCUGAGCCGUUCCCGGGGCCCCGGUUCUCCCGCCCAGCAGCUCCCUUCCCGGCCCCCGCUCUCCCCGCUGGGCCAUGCCUUCCGAAGCGGCAGCCGGCCUGGGACAGGCUUCUGAGGCACCGAGCGCCUGUAGCUACGGCUGAAGCCCGCGCGGAGGGACCAGGCGGGAAUAGGAAAAAGCCCAUGGUUGCAUAGCAUUGUAGGAUAAGAAUGGCUGCCCUGUUCCACUGCACGGGAGAGUGCAUUCCAGUGGCAGGAGGGUAGAGAGUCGCCCAUAAGGAGGGGUCCUCCAUUGCCAGAUGAACGAAACCAUCUAGCCCUGGUUGAAAUUAGUAUACUCCAAACAAUUUCAAGAAGUGGCUAAAGUACGCAAUUGGACUAGAAGAGAUUUAUAGCAAUGCAGGAAAAAGUGCCUCAUCCUUGUGUUUGAAAGGAGAUGUAUUAAUUUGAGACUAGCAAUAAGACAGAUAUGUUCUGACACAUGCUAUUACAUCAGCUAAUAGCCAAUUAGUCUGCUUGCUUUUUCCAGUACAUUUGUGAAGGAAAAAUAAAAUUUUUCAAGAUGUGACUUCAGGUUCUCAUUUGUUAUCAUGCUACAGAAGUACUGCAAUAAGACUCAACAGUGGCCCCUCACCCACACUACAGAGUGAAAAUUCAUUAAAUAAAAACAUUGGGUCUCUAGAUGAGGUCCAAAUCCAAAUCUUUAAGGGGGUCUUAAUUAUUAUUACACUGUUAAAGCUCCAAAUGUAGUUGUAACCACAUCCUAUCCACUGAUUAACAACCGUGGCUGUUUUUGUUCAUAGCAAUUUUUUAAUAUUUGUAAAAAUGUGCUACAUUUACAGUUCUGCAAACUGGUGUAUUGUACAUCCACAAAACAGAUGCUAGGAGCAUAGACAGAGGCCACACUACCCCAACGAUACGCUUUCCGUACUCCCAUGGAAGAACGAUGGCAAAGACUGAAUUUAUUGGCUCGCCCAUUGACUUAAUUACUCCAGUCUCCACGAACGGCGGUAGCUAUGGCAGCGGGAGAAGCUAUCCUACCGACAUAGCACUGUCAACCCUGGCACUUAGGUCGGUGUAACUUUUGUUGUUCACGGGAGUGGCUCAUCACACCCCUGAGAGACAUAACUUAUAUGGAUGUAAGCUGUAGUGUGUACAUAGUCUAAAAUAGGUACAGCACUUCACAGAUGUAACUCUCAAUGACUAGAGUUUGCCAAAUAACUAUUGAUAUUGUAGGCUGUUGCACAUUAGUUUGUAUUGCUUUCUCUAUAAUCCAAUGGCAUUGGCUAGGAAAUGGUCUUUAGCUAACUUAAUCAAGGAUGUUUUGUUCAAAGAUUUCACUCAACUGAAUUCCGCUGCUACUUUCUCUCUUGGAUCAUUAGCUAAAUUUUCUCAAAACUCAAUAGGGUAGGUCACCUUCAACAAAGGAGGGAUUUCAAAUUAAAUGGUGGACUGAGACCAAAUGACUUUCAGGCAAAAUGCAUCAAAACAAAGAUCCCUAAUAUAAGACGGUCUGAGAAUCUGAAUAUUCAAGAAAAGCAAAUAAGAUGCAUCGGACUGGACACUGAAUACAGCACCAUUUAUAGCAUACAUUGCUAUUUGGUAUGGCAAAUCUCUCUGGGAAGUUUCCAUGUAAAUACAGCUGCAAAAUACAAUCAACCAUUUUUAAACCCAUACCUGUGCCUUUUCAAAUUUCUAUUUAUACAUUUUUGUCUACCAUGUCUUAUUCUGGCUGUUAAAUACAGGCUGGGCUUCCUUGCCAUCUCUGGACACAAGACUAAAAACAAGAACAGAGUAAUAUGGUUCAAAAUAGCUUACCAAAACUACUACUUCCAAAGAGGAAACACAAUACAUCUAUAUGCGCAGGUGAUGCAAUACAACAUACAAUUUGAUUCCAGCUCCAUCAGCACUGCUGACCUUUUAAUUUGUUUUCCCAAAUCUUUUUAAACCUUUCCUUUAUAAUAGUUCUGCUGGAGAACUAAGUGGAUGGAAUGUUUGCUAUUCUAUCUAUCUUAGGGUUUCAUACGGCUGCCCACCACCAUAAUAACUGGGCACGUUCCAUGUAAGAUCAGAAAUAAGAAGUCCCUAGUGAACUUCAUGGAGCAUCUGGCACUUCUCCCUUUUCAAAGUUCUUGCUUGGUAAGGCUUUUGUUUUGUUAGAUUUUAUUAAUUCUCAUCCUCUCUUUUGAGGGGGAUGUUAGGGAUUUACUGUGUAAAGAGGGUUUUGGUGGCGUGAGUAUCGUUUUGAUGGUUUAAAGGCUUUGUUGAAGAGAAAGGUUAGAGUUUCUUAAAGAUGGUCAGACUGAAUUUGCCUAAUCUCUGGAAAUUAGUUACAUAGCUCGAGCCCCUGGAAAUGCUUUGCCCUAUACUCUGAAACCCUUCAUCCUGAGCUUUACCAUCUGCAUUGUCCCGGAGAACAGCAGUUGCAAUGGUUGAUAGAUCAAAAUUCUGUCUCUGAUGUAAUUGCUUUGAAAGUGAGGAUCAAGGCUUUAAACAUGCCCAGGAAGCUGACUGGGAGAAAGUACACGGAUCUGAACAUAGGCCUGAGGUGCUCAUAGAUACCUAAGUCGUGGAGAAAGCAGGCAGUCACAUUCUGUACCAGAUGGACUCUGUUUGCACCAUCUUCACAUUCAGCUUCGGAUACAGUGAAUUACAGAAAUCCAGCCUGGAAGUAACAAAUACAUAUAGCCAGGUCCUCAUCUGGGAAGAAGGGGCUAAAUUUUCUAGCAAGCUGGAGGUGACAAAAGGCAUUUUUAGAAACUGAUACUACCUGGUCAUCCAGGAUUAAUGCAUGAAGUGAAAAAGUUUCACACCACUUUGAUGAAUGGAGGCUGUGCGCCUUUAACGAAAGGUGGAGAUAACAUCUCCGCUAAUUCUCCGUAACAUUUCCCCUUUCCAACCAGCAUCACUUCUGUUGUGCCUGGGUUCAGUUUGAGCCAGCUGCUCUUCAUCCAAAAGCUGAUUUUCUUGCAGGCAUUCUGACAUCUUACAAGCACUGGCGGUUGUGUCAGGUAAAUAUGAAAUAUAUAGUUGAACAUCAUCAGCAUGCUGGUGGCAGCUGAGUCCAUGGCA